CAACCCUGUUCCUGGAGAGAAACCCUCCUGUAGGUUUACACUCCAACCCUGUUCCUGGAGAGAUACCCUCCUGUAGGUUUACACUCCAACCCUGUUCCUGGAGAGAAACCCUCCUGUAGGUUUACACUCCAACCCUGUUCCUGGAGAGAAACCCUCCUGUAGGUUUUAACUCCAACCCUGUUCCUGGAGAGAUACCCUCCUGUAGGUUUACACUCCAACCCUGUUCCUGGAGAGAUACCCUCCUGUAGGUUUACACUCCAACCCUGUUCCUGGAGAGAUACCCUCCUGUAGGUUUACACUCCAACCCUGUUCCUGGAGAGAUACCCUCCUGUAGGUUUACACUCCAACCCUGUUCCUGGAGAGAUACCCUCCUGUAGGUUUUAACUCCAACCCUGUUCCUGGAGAGAUGCCCUCCUGUAGGUUUAUACUCCAACCCUGUUCCUGGAGAGAAACCCUCCUGUAGGUUUAUACUCCAACCCUGUUCCUGGAGAGAUACCCUCCUGUAGGUUUUAACUCCAACCCUGUUCCUGGAGAGAUACCCUCCUGUAGGUUUUAACUCCAACCCUGUUCCUGGAGAGAUACCCUCCUGUAGGUUUUAACUCCAACCCUGUUCCUGGAGAGAUACCCUCCUGUAGGUUUACACUCCAACCCUGUUCCUGGAGAGAUACCCUCCUGUAGGUUUACACUCCAACCCCAGUUGUAACUAACCUGAUUCAGCUUAUCAACCAGCUAAUUAUUAG
rnacentral:lncRNA from 1 species